AUACCUUUCUCGGCCUUUUGGCUAAGAUCAAGUGUAGUAUCUGUUCUUAUUAGUUUAAUAUCUGAUAUGUGGUACAUCGGGUCACACGAUAUUAACUCUAUUUUUUAAAGGAGAAAGCCCAUUAAAAUAGCUUGCUAUCUGGCUCAAUUCGCCAAGUCUCAGUUUAAAUUUUGGUCCUUCGAUUUAUAAGAU
rfam:Brassica napus, WGS project CCCW01000000 data, contig: 15078